GACCACUGAUUUAAAACAUAUUAGUUUUAAAAUGUGCUUGUUCUUGUAACAAUUUCUUAAAGUAUUAAAUGCCACAGAAAAAACAUAUAGGCACAUGCUUUCAUUCUACAAUUCCCACUGGGAGAGAAAGUUUACCCAAGUGCUACUGAGAUUUGCUGGGCUCUCUAAAGCGGAAGAGGCUGUGAGGAGGCAGAUUCAAGUCGUUGAGAACAGUGCUAUGUUAAAGAUCAGAAUCCCUGCCUCAAAGCAUUGUCCCAGAGACAUAUGAAACACACAGGUGUUUCACCAUUCUUAGUAGAAUCUGACCUCCGCAAGAGAAGAAACUCCAUCUUGCUAACAGCCAUGUUGUUUCCUUUCUGCCCCAUGCUGUACAAGGCAAAGGAGAGCAGGAAUUGGAAGGCAGAGUAGAUACUCUUCUUCCUUCUCCUGCUGCUGGUACUACCACAAAUACUACCACCUCUUUGGCUUCUAGCUAAGAUUUGCUGGGCAUUUCCUAUUUGCUGGACCUCAUUCUCAGCAUUUAAAGAUAUUAUCUUAUUUAAUCUUUAUAACAACCCUAUCAAGUAGCUAUUAUUAUCUCCAUUUCAUAGACAAAGAGAAAUACAGCAAGAAUACAUAACUAGCCCAAGUUUAUACCACUAGUAACUGGUAGAGUGUCAAUGGUCUAACUAAAUCUCUUUUAUCAGAUAUCUUUUUUUAUCAGAAAAUUAAAGUUUUAACUUACACUCUUCUAAAAAUACUCAUUGAACAUACUCCAACAUGUAACUCCAUAAUAGGGAGACUGAGUAAAUAACUGAGUUGUGUGGCCAACUUUGACCUCCAUAUUUUUCUAUCUCCAAAAAUAGCACAAUCCAUGAUUUUUUACAAAAUAAGGAAGUUUAUAGUCAGGAGCAAAGUAGAGUCAUUUUUCUGCUUCUCUAUUUAGGAAUUGGUCUCUUUUGUUUAGUUGUCUAAAGUAUGUUAAUAAAAAGAGGGAAUUCACAUUCCAUGUCUGGAAAUUUUCUUUUGCUUUGUGUAUCAGGUUUCUUUUGAGAGGACAUUAAAGUAAUUCGAAUUCUUCUGACCCUCGUUCCAGUGUAUGAGGAGGAUAUAAACACCAAAAUCCAAAAGGGCAUAUUAUUGUUUGCUCAUGUUAUAUACCUUGUGCUUGGGGUGAUGAUAUUUUGAGCCUUGGAGAAAUACUCUGAGGUAUAGCAGCAGCAGUUAGCAGUUAAUACAAAAAUCGAUUUUCUACAAAACCAUUCUAAUAUGACCCAAGAAGAUAUUGAACUUUUUCUGCAGGUGUGGACCAGACAGGGAAGAUUAGAGUAGGAACAAGGAAAUCAUGCGGAAAGAAAGAAGGUAGCAGAUGAUAAGGAAGUGGAAGGAGGCGAAAGUCAGAGAAGGGACAAAGGACAACCCAACCACUAUAUGGUGACAUAUAGUUUUGUUGUUAUUAUGGAUGACAUCUUAUCAUCAUCGUCGUCAUCACCAUCAUCAGUCAAAACUAUUACCAACCCACGAAUCGGACUGGCUUUCGAGUGUGCCGUGUCUAGUUCCUCCAACGUUGCUGCUGUGAAGAAAGUGGUUCAACAGCUCUGGCUGGAGGCUGGGCUCAACUGUGUUAAGGCUUCCCAGGCAAAAGUCAUAGUUGAGUUGAAUUGCAUUGCAUUGCAUCGCAACAAUUCUGUCUGUAGAAUGCCCUACUUCAGGCG